rnacentral:snRNA from 1 species
GUGCUUGCUUCAGCAGCACACGUAAUAAAAUUGGAACGAAACAGAGAUUAGCAUGGCCCCUGCACAAGGAUGACAUGCAAAUUCGUGAAGCGUUCCAUAUUUUU